rnacentral:rRNA from 1 species
GAUGAACGCUGGCGGCGUGCCUAAUACAUGCAAGUCGAGCGAACAGACGAGGAGCUUGCUCCGAUGACGUGAGCGGCGGACGGGUGAGUAACGCGUGGAUAACCUGCCUAUAAGACUGGGAUAACUUCGGGAAACCAGUGCUAAUACCGGAUAAUAUAUUUAAACACAUGGUUCAAGAGUGAAAGAUGGUUUUGCUGUAACUUAUGAAUAUAUCCGCUCGGAUUUAGCAAGUUGGGAGGGUAAGGGCUUACCAAGGGAACGUUGAGAGGCCGACCUGAGAGGGUGAUCGGCCAAACUGGAACGGGACACCGGUCCAGACCCCUACGGGAGGAGGCAGAAGGGAAUCUUGCGCAAUGGGCGAAAUCCUGACGGAGCAACGCCGCGUGGUGGAGGAAGGUCUCCGGAUCGUAAACCUCUGUUAUAAGGGAAGAACAAAGUGGUAAUUAACUACUCACGUCUUGACGGUACCUAAUCAGAAAGCCACGGCUAACUACGUG